rnacentral:rRNA from 1 species
GACGAACGCUGGCGGCGUGCUUAACACAUGCAAGUCGAACGGAAAGGCCCUGCUUUUGUGGGGUGCUCGAGUGGCGAACGGGUGAGUAACACGUGCGUAACCUGCCCUUGACUUUGGGAUAACUUAAGGAAACUGGGGCUAAUACCGGAUAGGAGCUCCUGCUGCAUGGGGGGGGUUGGAAAGUUUCGGCGGUUGGGGAUGGACUCGCGGCGUAUCAGCUUGUUGGUGGGGUAGUGGCUUACCAAGGCUUUGACGGGUAGCCGGCCUGAGAGGGUGACCGGCCACAUUGGGACUGAGAUACGGCCCAGACUCCUACGGGAGGCAGCAGUGGGGAAUAUUGCACAAUGGGCGGAAGCCUGAUGCAGCAACGCCGCGUGCGGGAUGACGGCCUUCGGGUUGUAAACCGCUUUCGCCUGUGACGAAGCGUGAGUGACGGUAAUGAGAGAAGAAGCACCGGCUAACUACGUG